GGGUUUCCUGGAGGCCAUCUGCUUGACUGGCUGUCUCUGGACAGUGGAGGUGAGGGCUGGGGUGUGCAGGCUGCUCUGGAUACUGCUGUUGUCCAACCAGGAUCCUCUGACUGUGCUGGACAUUGAACCUGGAAGAGACAGAAGUUGGGUGCGGUCCUGUUGCAGCAGCUUGAAACUGAACUCGCUGAGGAUCUCCAUGAAGGCCACAUUUGGAUGCUGCUCUUCUCCCUCCUGUGGGUCCCGAAACGCAAACCGUAUACCGUCCCUAAAAGACACAACACACACAAUAUCUGUAACACAUAACAAAACCAAUCUAUAACACAGAAUGAACAGAUACAGUUUGAUCAUCACUCUUGAAAGUCAAACAUGAAUAAACUGAGCUAUAACCUGA